GUCCUUUUGAUAAUAAUUUAAGGUCAAAUCUGCCCACUGAUAUAUUAAAUGGCCGCAGUAUACUGACUGUGCUAAGGUAGCAUAAUAAUUAGUUUUUUAAUUGAAAGCUGGUAUGAAUGAUUUAAUGAAAUAUAAGCUGUCUCAUUAUAAGUUUAAAAGAAUUUUAUUUUUAAGUUAAAAAGCUUAAAUUUAAUUAAAAGACGAGAAGACCCUAUAGAGUUUAAUUAAAUAAUUUAAAUAUUAAUUAUUAUUAUUUAAAUAAUUGUUUUAUUUUAUUUAAUUUGGUUGGGGUGACAAAAAAAUUUAAUUAACUUUUUAAUUUAUAAACAUAAAUUUAUGAAUAGUUGAUCCAUUAAUAAUGAUUAGAAGAUUAAAUUACCUUAGGGAUAACAGCGUAAUUAUUUUAGAGAGUUCUUAUCGAUAAAAUAGAUUGCGACCUCGAUGUUGGAUUAAAGUUUAUUUUUGGUGUAGAAGCUAAAAUAUUAAGUCUGUUCGACUUUUAAAACUUUACA
rnacentral:rRNA from 1 species